GGAAGGAUCAUUAUUGAAUUUGGAUCCGAAGGGGAAGGGCGAGCGAGCGAAGUUUGCAGAAGCGUUAGAGAUCGUCGCUGGCCUUUGGAAACAAAGGCAUGUGCAUGUCUCGACCCUCUUGCUUAGUCCUCGUUCUCUUUCCUUUCGUAAAUCUUUGACACCCGUGCACCUCUUGUAGGUCCCUGCGAGGGGACCUAUGUCUUCAUAAUCUCUUUGUAUGUUCAGGAAUGUAUCUAAAGCGUCGACCGGCUUGGCUGAACGUCCAGUCGGCGACGGUAAAGAAAUGUAAUACAACUUUCAGCAACGGAUCUCUUGGCUCUCGCAUCGAUGAAGAACGCAGCGAAUUGCGAUAAGUAAUGUGAAUUGCAGAUUUUCAGUGAAUCAUCGAAUCUUUGAACGCACCUUGCGCUCCUUGGUAUUCCGAGGAGCAUGCCUGUUUGAGUGUCAUUUAAUUCUCAACCAUCCCUCGAUUGAUUUUCGAGGUUUGGCUUGGAUUUUGGGAGCUGCCGGCGACCGAUCGGGUCUUUG
rnacentral:misc_RNA from 1 species